CGAGCCNCGGACGGGUGAGUAAUGCCUANGGAUCUGCCCAGUCGAGGGGGAUAACAGUUGGAAACGACUGCUAAUACCGCAUACGCCCUACGGGGGAAAGGAGGGGACCUUCGGGCCUUCCGCGAUUGGAUGAACCUAGGUGGGAUUAGCUAGUUGGUGAGGUAAUGGCUCACCAAGGCGACGAUCCCUANCUGUUCUGANAGGAUGAUCAGCCACACUGGGACUGAGACACGGCCCAGACUCCUACGGGAGGCAGCAGUGGGGAAUAUUGCACAAUGGGGGAAACCCUGAUGCAGCCAUGCCGCGUGUGUGAAGAAGGCCUUCGGGUUGUAAAGCACUUUCAGUAUGGAGGAAAGGUAGCAAGCUUAAUACGCUGUUGCUGUGACGUUACCUACAGAAGAAGGACCGGCUAACUUCCGUGCCAGCANCCGCGGUAAUACGGAGGGUCCCGAGCGUAAUCGGAAUUACUGGGCGUAAAAGCGUGCCCAGGCGGUUUGUUAAGCGANAUGUGAAAGCCCCGGGCUCAACCUGGGAAUUGCAUUUNGAACUGCGAACUA
rnacentral:rRNA from 1 species